GGAAUAUUGGUCAAUGGACGGUAGUCUGAACCAGCUAAGUCGCGUGAGGGAGGAAGGUCCUACGGAUUGCAGACCUCUUUUGCCGGGGAGCAACGUGCGCCACGCGUGGCGCAGUGAGAGUACCCGGAGAAAAAGCAUCGGCUAACUCCGUGCCAGCAGCCGCGGUAAUACGGAGGAUGCGAGCGUUAUCCGGAUUUAUUGGGUUUAAAGGGUGCGUAGGCGGACGUUCAAGUCGGCGGUCAAAUGGGCGGGCUCAACCCGUUCUCGCCGUCGAAACUGGGCGACUGGAGUGGGAGAGAGGCAUGCGGAAUGCGCGGUGUAGCGGUGAAAUGCAUAGAUAUCGCGCAGAACUCCGAUCGCGAAGGCAGCGUGCCGGCUCCUUACUGACGCUGAAGCACGAAAGCGUGGGGAUCGAACA
rnacentral:rRNA from 1 species